rnacentral:rRNA from 1 species
CCUACGGGUGGCAGCAGUGGGGAAUAUUGGGCAAUGGAGGAAACUCUGACGCAGCAAUGCCGCGUGAAUGAAGAAGGCCUUCGGAUUGUAAAGUUCUUUAGUCAGGGAAGAAUAAAAUGACGGUAACUGAAGAAUAAGCUCCGGCUAACUACGUGCCAGCAGCCGCGGUAAUACGUAGGGAGCAAGCGUUGUUCGGAAUGACGGGGCGUAAAGGGUGGGUAAGCGGUUGUACAAGUUAGAAGUGAAAGACCCAGGGCUUAACUUGGGUGCUGCUUGUAAAACUGUAAGACUUGAGUGCAGUAGAGGAUAGUAGAAUUCCUAGUGUAGCGGUGGAAUGCGUAGAUAUUAGGAGGAACACCAGAGGCGAAGGCGGCUAACUGGACUGCAACUGACGCUGAGGCACGAAAGUGUGGGGAGCAAACAGGAUUAGAUACCCUAGUAGUC